rnacentral:rRNA from 1 species
GACAGAGGGGGGCAAGCGUUGCUCGGAAUUAUUGGGCGUAAAGGGCGCGUAGGCGGGAUGGCAAGUCGGUCGUGAAAUCCCUCGGCUCAACCGAGGAACGUCGAUCGAUACUGCUGUUCUUGAGGAUUGCAGAGGAGACUGGAAUUCCCGGUGUAGCGGUGAAAUGUGUAGAGAUCGGGAGGAACACCGGUGGCGAAGGCGGGUCUCUGGGCAAUUCCUGACGCUGAGGCGCGAAAGCGUGGGGAGCAAACGGG